rnacentral:tRNA from 3 species
GGAAGGGUGGCAGAGUGGUCGAUUGCUCCGGUCUUGAAAACCGGCGAUGUGCAAGCAUCCGUGGGUUCGAAUCCCACCCCUUCCGCCA